rnacentral:rRNA from 2 species
GCCGCGUGAGUGAAGAAGGUUUUCGGAUCGUAAAACUCUGUUGUAAGGGAAGAACACGUACGAGAGUAACUGCUCGUACCUUGACGGUACCUUAUUAGAAAGCCACGGCUAACUACGUGCCAGCAGCCGCGGUAAUACGUAGGUGGCAAGCGUUGUCCGGAAUUAUUGGGCGUAAAGCGCGCGCAGGCGGUCCUUUAAGUCCGAUGUGAAAGCCCACGGCUCAACCGUGGAGGGUCAUUGGAAACUGGGGGACUUGAGUACAGAAGAGGAAAGCGGAAUUCCACGUGUAGCGGUGAAAUGCGUAGAGAUGUGGAGGAACACCAGUGGCGAAGGCGGCUUUCUGGUCUGUAACUGACGCUGAGG